ACUCAAAUGAAUAGACGGGGACCCGCACAAGCGGUGGAGCAUGUGGUUUAAUUCGAUGGUAAGCGGAGCACCUCACCAAGGUUUGACAUCCCAGUGAAAGGCACCAGAAAUGGAGCCCCUCUUCGGACACUGGAGACAGGUGCUGCACGGUUGUCGUCAGCUCGUGUUGUGAAAUGUACCGUUAAGUCGGAUAACGAGCGCAACCCCUAUUGCCAGUUACAUGUGUCUGGCGAGACUGCCGUGGUUAACACGGAGGAAGGUGGGGAUGACGUCAAAUCAGCGUGGCCUUUAUACCUUGGGCGACACACGUGCUACAAUGGGUAGGUCACAAAGGGUUGCUAAGCCGAAAGGUGGAGCUAAUCCCAACAAAACUACCCCAAGUUCGGAUUGAGGGCUGCAACUCGCCCUCAUGAAGCUGGAAUCGCUAGUAACGGCAAAUCAGCCAUGUUGCCGUGAAUACGUUCUCGGGUCUUGUACACACCGCCCGU
rnacentral:rRNA from 1 species